ACGGCUCAGUAACACGUGGACAACCUACCCUUAGGUCGGGGAUAAACCCGGGAAACUGGGUAUAAUACCCGAUAGAUCUCGGCUGCUGGAAUGCAUCGAGAUCUAAAGCUCCGGCGCCUAAGGAUGGGUCUGCGGCCUAUCAGGUAGUAGUGGGUGUAGCGUACCUACUAGCCUACGACGGGUACGGGUUGUGAGAGCAAGAGCCCGGAGAUGGAUUCUGAGACACGAAUCCAGGCCCUACGGGGUGCAGCAGGCGCGAAAACUUUACAAUGCUGGAAACAGCGAUAAGGGGACCUCGAGUGCCAGGUUACAAAUCUGGCUGUCGUGAUGCCUAAAAAGCAUUGCAUAGCAAGGGCCGGGCAAGACCGGUGCCAGCCGCCGCGGUAACACCGGCGGCUCGAGUGGUAACCGUUAUUAUUGGGUCUAAAGGGUCUGUAGCCGGCCGGAUAAGUCUCUUGGGAAAUCCAGCAGCUUAACUGUUGGGCUUUCAGGAGAUACUGUCUGGCUCGAGGCCGGGAGAGGUGAGAGGUACUUCAGGGGUAGGGGUGAAAUCUUGUAAUCCUUGAAGGACCACCAGUGGCGAAGGCGUCUCACCAGAACGGACCUGACGGCAAGGGACGAAAGCUAGGGGCACGAACCGGAUUAGAUACCCGGGUAGUCCUAGCCGUAAACGAUACUCGCUAGGUGUCGGCCACGGUGCGACCGUUGUCGGUGCCGUAGGGAAGCCGUGAAGCGAGCCACCUGGGAAGUACGGCCGCAAGGCUGAAACUUAAAGGAAUUGGCGGGGGAGCAC
rnacentral:rRNA from 1 species